UUUACUCCUCAACUUGCAAACAAAUCUUCACCAGCGUUCCUUGAACUAAAGAACAAAGUGACCACAGCGCUCGACAUGGUCUAUUCAGAACAAUAUGGAUCCAGCUUCAAUCGUACUGUCAUCAACAGCUUCAGUCAAGGAUCCGUUGAGGUAGA